UUACUCUCCCUCUACCUACCUCUUUCGCACAACAACCGCACGCUUCAGCAAAACCCUAAACAAGACGGCGAUUUAUCUCUAAUUACAUCGGCGGAGACGACGAUUCUUCUGUGAUUGCAUCGACGGAUUUGGAUUUUGCAUCGGCGGACUUGGAUUUUGCACCAGCGGCCUUAGAUUACAGCUGACAAUGACUGGAAAUGGGAAGAAGAAAGCGCGUUCCGGUACAAUUCAUAAAAAGGAGUCAUUCAUUUUAUCACCUCUUUACAAAUCUUGUAUUUUAAUGUUCAUUCAAUCGCAAAAACAAAUGGCGAGCCAUCAUCAGCACCGUCUUCAAGUAAACGGAGAAAAGUAACUGAAGCAGUUAAUUUCAGAGGUUGAGCAUAUCGUAAAGAUGUCGUGGGCUGAUAGCAAGAACACUAUCGACACAGGAGUAUACCUAAUGAGGCAUUUCGAGACAUUCAUGGGGGAUGGUACGAAGGGGUGGACGUGCAACUUAUCCAAUAAACGCCCACAGCAGUUCCAAAGAUUGCGUGUAAGGUAUUGUGCAACCAUACGUGUGUGGGAGGGGAACAAUGUGAAGAAGGCCAUUGGAGAGAAAGCAACCUAUGCUUUUACUGAAUUGUGCAAGAAUCCAGGAUUCAAUGUGAACUCGGCCUUGCUUGGGUGAAACUUAAGCAAGUGACAACUAUACCACUUUCAUACUUAUAAAUUUCAGUAGUUUUUGGUUGGAUACUACAUAAUAAUUCAGACUUCGUUUUGAUUUGAAUGUGGAAAACCUGGUUUUCAAAUAUUAUGUUGUGCUUGUGCUUGUUUUGAUUUGAA